rnacentral:lncRNA from 1 species
GGGGGUGAUUGUUGGAGAUAAACUUGAAGUUUGAAGAUAACUUAGAGAAUAAGUUAUCAUAAUCCUAUUCGAAUUAUGUUUAGGAUAAAAUAGGUUUUACUAAUAUAUUUAGGAUAAAUAUAUCUCUAUAUAAGAAGAUGGUGAGUUGUGCCAUGAACUUGUGAGAUUAGAGAUUAUUUGUGAGAGCUUAGGUUUUGAGUGGUUUUCCUAAGUUAAUAAGAAGAGAGUUCUUAUAUAAUCUUGAGUGUUCAUAAGCUAAGCUAAUAUUUAGCACAUCCACAUCUUUUGAAUACUCUUCUUGAAAGUAUUCAAAGAUGGUUUCGUAUCCAAUAGUACUUUUUGUCGACUAUGGUUUCAUUGAUUAGCCGAGCAGUCCACAAUACAAUUGGUAUCAGUUUUACAAUAAAAAAAACCAACAGAACAUAAAGCAAUAUGGAAGAUUCAUCGUUCUACGCGUCUCUCAUCG